rnacentral:rRNA from 1 species
AGAGUUUGAUCAUGGCUCAGAUUGAACGCUGGCGGCAUGCCUUACACAUGCAAGUCGAACGCGAAAGCGGGGCAACCCGCAAGUAGAGUGGCGAACGGGUGAGUAAUACAUCGGAACAUUUCCAGUAGCGGGGGAUAACCUGUCGAAAGAUAGGCUAAUACCGCAUACGCCCCAAGGGGGAAAGCGGAGGACCGCAAGGCUUCGCACUAUUGGAGUGGCCGAUGUCGGAUUAGCUAGUUGGCGGGGUAACGGCCCACCAAGGCGACGAUCCGUAGCUGGUCUGAGAGGACGAUCAGCCACACUGGAACUGAGACACGGUCCAGACUCCUACGGGAGGCAGCAGUGGGGAAUUUUGGACAAUGGGCGCAAGCCUGAUCCAGCCAUGCCGCGUGAGUGAAGAAGGCCCUCGGGUUGUAAAGCUCUUUCGGCGGGGACGAAAUGGUCCGUGCUAAUACCACGGACUGAUGACGGUACCCGAAGAAGAAGCACCGGCUAACUACGUGCCAGCAGCCGCGGUAAUACGUAGGGUGCAGGCGUUAAUCGGAAUUACUGGGCGUAAAGCGUGCGCAGGCGGUUUGUUAAGACAGAUGUGAAAUCCCCGGGCUUAACCUGGGAACUGCGUUUGUAACUGGCAAGCUAGAGUGUGGCAGAGGGGGGUGGAAUUCCAAGUGUAGCAGUGAAAUGCGUAGAUAUUUGGAGGAACACCGAUGGCGAAGGC